CAUGUGCUACCAAGUGUCUUGCUGCCAUUUCCUUUCUUGUCUACCAGGUUAGCAGUGAGGUACACUGAGCACAAUUUCCAGGUCACAUCUCAGAUAUGAACAUUAUUCAGAGGUUACUCAGGUGAUCCCAGGCCAUCCCGAGAGUGCAGCUGUGCAGGACUUGACCUUGAAGGACAGAUGGCAUCAGGAGGAAUUCCUUUAUACCUUGUGCUGGCCGGGGCCCCAUUUCUGUCUACAGACAAUAAAAGGCUUUCACUGUGAACUGGUUUCUGAUGCGUGCUUAAAAACGAGUUGAACGCAUUAAAAGGGCAAAAAGGCAGAAAUCUG
rnacentral:lncRNA from 1 species